GGAAACCACCACACAUUUCCUUAAAUUCAGGGUCCAGCUCACAUGGGAAAUGCUCUCUGAGAGUCAUGGACCUCCUGUGCAAGAACAAGAAGCACCUGUGGUUCUUCCUCCUCCUGGUGGCAGUUCCCAGAUGGGUCCUGUCCCAGGUGCAGCUGCAGGAGUCGGGCCCAGGACUGGUGAAGCCUUCGGAGACCCUGUCCCUCACCUGCACUGUCUCUGGUGGCUCCCUCAGCGGUUACUACUGGGGCUGGAUCCGCCAGCCCCCAGGGAAGGGGCUGGAGUGGAUUGGGCAUAUCUAUGGUAGUGGUGGGAGCACCUACUACAACCCCUCCCUCAAGAGUCGAGUCACCAUUUCAACAGACACGUCCAAGAACCAGUUCUCCCUGAAGCUGAGCUCUGUGACCGCCGCAGACACGGCCGUGUAUUACUGUGCGAGCGACACAGUGAGGGGAGAGGAGAAUCCAUGUGGAGACGUAGUGCACUAGAAGGUUGCCCUGUGC